UAGGGAAUCUUCGGCAAUGGGGGCAACCCUGACCGAGCAACGCCGCGUGAGUGAAGAAGGUUUUCGGAUCGUAAAGCUCUGUUGUAAGAGAAGAACGUGUGUGAGAGUGGAAAGUUCACACAGUGACGGUAACUUACCAAAAAGGGACGGCUAACUACGUCCCAGCAGCCGCGGUAUUACGUAGGUCCCGAGCGUUGUCCGGAUUUAUUGGGCGUAAGGCGAGCGCAGGCGGUUUAAUAAGUCUGAAGUUAAAGGCAGUGGCUUAACCAUUGUUCGCUUUGGAAACUGUUAAACUUGAGUGCAGAAGGGGAGAGUGGAAUUCCAUGUGUAGCGGUGAAAUGCGUAGAUAUAUGGAGGAACACCGGUGGCGAAAGCGGCUCUCUGGUCUGUAACUGACGCUGAGGCUCGAAAGCGUGGGGAGCAAACAGG
rnacentral:rRNA from 1 species